GAAAGCCGUGUGCGUUAAUUGCGAAUGCACGGUUUGAUGGGGGAGGGCAGGCGAGAGCCUGUUCUCUACUCUAU
rnacentral:autocatalytically_spliced_intron from 1 species